CCCUGGACUUAGCAGCAGGUCUUGGGCAGCAGUCAAUGGGGAGGGAGUUUGUGUAUAAGUGCUCCAUAGAGGGGUUUGGCUGCCUGUCUAGCUGCUGUAGGGGGAACUGAUGACUCCUAGAGAAGCUGUGGCAGUCCCACAAGGAGAAGCAUAACAGGAGGUGGGAAGCAGGAGCACAGAGCCAUGAAAAAAUGCAUUUUUCUCAGAUGGGUGGAAUGGCUCUGCUACUGGUGUAAUGGCUCCCUGAAGAGUUAAACACAGCAGUAGCUGGUACAGCAUGGGAUCCCCAAAAUGCAACUGACUACAAUAGAGUUAAGAAGCAUAAAUAAAAGAUUUAGAACACUUUAAGUUUUAAUGACUUCGUAAGGUCACUUGUUUUCCAAGUCUUCAGUACGUAGAUUUGGCUCCAGCAGGCACAACUGGCUUACAGGAAUGCACUUGUAAUAUUUUAUUUGACAAGACCCUUUUAUACAUGCUGAACUAGCCCUCUUAAGUCUCUUUGGUGUACAAACUUUGGGCCUAACCAUGCAGUCUGUAUGCUACCAAUGAAAUCAAUAGGUGUGUAAACCAGCCCAGGAACCAAAAAACACUGUCCUGUUACAGGCAUCCUAAAUAAAACUAAUUGACAGGUUCAGCAUCUUGCACAUGCCUUGCCCCAGAUCUCAACUGACCCAGGAUUUUCUGCAGAAGCUAUUUGCUAAAAGAUUAUACUCCAUAGACUCUGCCUGAUGGCACAUGUGAACCAAGUCUCCUUUGACUGCAGGCUCCUGCAGAAUCAUUCGUCUUCCCUGUAGCUUAGCUGAAUUGGAGAGCUCUUUGCUAGAUUUUUACAAAGACCAUGUCAUCUCCAAGCUACUAACCAAUUCCUGGCUGAAUUCAGAGCCUCAGUGGAUCAGUCACAGGUGAAACUAGGUGGGACAGCUUCCCCAUAGAGGACAGGAGAAGCACUGGCAGUUGCUAUGCCUUGUGUGUGUGAUGGUGAUGGAGGAGGAACUGGAAACUCAGGCUUGAGAGGAAGAGUAGCAGCAUAGGUGAAGAGGCUGCUGGCUUUGUGGCUUGGCUCCUGGCUCUGAUUUGCUGUACUUCCCGCUCAGCGAAGGUAGAACUGAACUGCAGCUUGGAAAGGAGAUGAGAGGCUGGGGUGGAUUCAGGGGAAUGCAGAGGUACUCUCUGAGCUCACCAGCUGGUCAGUACAGGCUCUGGUUGGAGCCAUUUGCUUUUGCACAGGUCUGAAGCCCAAAGGAUGUGUCCCUGCCAUUGCCCCCUUCUGCUUUCCCCCCACUCACCAUCCCUGUGCUGAAUUUGGGGGUGGCAGUGCUCAUCUGGGUUUCAGAGCCAUGUGAAAGACAGUGGCGCUGGCAAGAGCCCAUACCAACGGUGGAAGCUCUCCAAGAUCACAUAUAAGCUGAGCUCUGGCAGGAGCCCACAGUGCAGAGGGGAUGGGCCACACCCCGCUCACUUCUCUCCUGGACUCACCUGUGGC